rnacentral:rRNA from 1 species
GAUGAACGCUAGCGGCAGGCCUAACACAUGCAAGUCGAGGGGUAGAAGGAGCUUGUUCCUUUUAUACCGUCGCACGGGUGCGUAACGCGUAUGCAAUCUACCUUGUCCAGUGGAAUAGCCCAGAGUACUUUGGAUUAAUGCCCCAUAGUAUAUAACUUUCGCAUGUUGGUUAUCUUAAAGUUCCAACGGUAUAAGUUAAGCAUGCGUCCGAUUAGUUAGUUGGUAAGGUAACGGCUUACCAAGACGAUGAUGAGUAGGGGUGAUGAGAGGGAGAUCCCCCAAAAUGGUAAUGAGACACGGACCAGAAUGGGACGGAAGGCAGCAGUAAGGAAUAUUGGUGAAGGGUCGCAAGACUGAACCAGCCAUGCCGGGUGCAGGAAGACGGUCCUAGGGAUUGUAAACUGCUUUUAAACAGGAAGAAACCCAGCCACGUGUGAGGGCUUGACGGUACUGAAGGAAUAAGGAUCGGCUAACUCCGUG